rnacentral:rRNA from 1 species
CCUACGGGAGGCAGCAGUGGGGAAUAUUGGUCAAUGGGCGCGAGCCUGAACCAGCAAAGUCGCGUGAAGGAUGACUGCCCUCCGGGUUGUAAACUUCUUUUAUAAAGGAAUAAAGUGAGGCACGUGUGCCUUUUUGUAUGUACUUUAUGAAUAAGGAUCGGCUAAAUCCGUGCCAGCAGCCGCGGUAAUACGGAGGAUCCGAGCGUUAUCCGGAUUUAUUGGGUUUAAAGGGAGCGUAGAUGGGUUGUUAAGUCAGUUGUGAAAGUUUGCGGCUCAACCGUAAAAUUGCAAUUGAUACUGGCAGCCUUGAGUGCAGUUGAGGUAGGCGGAAUUCGUGGUGUAGCGGUGAAAUGCGUAGAUAUCACGAAGAACUCCGAUUGCGAAGGCAGCCUACUAGACUGCCACUGACAUUGAUGCUCGAAAGUGUGGGUAUCAAACAGGAUUAGAUACCCCAGUAGUC